ensembl:rRNA 5S_rRNA 5S ribosomal RNA
AUAUACAGACAUACUACCCUGAAUGUGCCUGACUCAUCUCAGAAGAUAAGCAGGGUCAGGCCUGGUUAGCACUUGGAUGGGAGACUGCGUGGGAAUACUGAUCGCUGUAGGCU